rnacentral:rRNA from 1 species
UUUUUUUACGGUAGUUAUUUGUGUGGGAUUUUGGACAAUGGGGGGAACCCUGAUCCAGCGACGCCGCGUGAGUGAAGAAGUAUUUCGGUAUGUAAAGCUCUGUCAGCAGGGAAGAAAGCAAUGACGGUACCUGACCAAGAAGCCCCGGCUAACUACGUGCCAGCAGCCGCGGUAAUACGUAGGGGGCAAGCGUUAUCCGGAAUUACUGGGUGUAAAGGGAGCGUAGACGGCUGUGCAAGUCUGGAGUGAAAGGCGGGGGCCCAACCCCCGGACUGCUCUGGAAACUGUAUGGCUG